GAUGAACGCUGGCUACAGGCUUAACACAUGCAAGUCGAGGGGAAACGACGGGGAAGCUUGCUUCCCCGGGCGUCGACCGGCGCACGGGUGAGUAACGCGUAUCCAACCUGCCUCUGACUGAGGGAUAACCCGUCGAAAGUCGGCCUAAUACCUCAUGGUAUCGUCUGCGGGCAUCCAACGACGAUUAAAGAUUUCAUCGGUCAGGGAUGGGGAUGCGUCUGAUUAGCUUGUUGGCGGGGUAACGGCCCACCAAGGCUACGAUCAGUAGGGGUUCUGAGAGGAAGGUCCCCCACAUUGGAACUGAGACACGGUCCAAACUCCUACGGGAGGCAGCAGUGAGGAAUAUUGGUCAAUGGGCGAGAGCCUGAACCAGCCAAGUAGCGUGCAGGAAGACGGCCCUAUGGGUUGUAAACUGCUUUUAUGCGGGGAUAAAGUGAGGGACGUGUCCCUCAUUGCAGGUGCCGCAUGAAUAAGGACCGGCUAAUUCCGUG
rnacentral:rRNA from 1 species